GCACAUUUUAUUUACAGGGAAAUCACAACUUCAAAAACAGAAUAAAUAGCAUAGUGCAUAAACAUCUUCACUCAAUACAUAAUUUUGGUAACAAGGUUUGAACAGUGAAAUUUAGCCUGCUUCAAUCAGGUGCAAAACUUCCAAAUUAACCAUGCUGUUUAUUGAGAAAUAUAUCCUAAUUCCCUUUUCAUAUUAUUGUUACAUUAUUAGAAUUAACAACUAGACCAUGUUCACCAAAUCUUGUUUCUUUACUCAAUCUUAGAGAUUAUAUCUCUCAAGUUACUCCAAUUUGCAGACUCCACUGAAAUUCUAAUCACAAAACAUCUUUAAAUUUGUAAUGUCCAGAUCAAGGUAAUGGUAUAGGACUAAAAAAUGAAUACAUAGUUGAUAAGUGCGUGGGGGAAGGGAAAGAGAGGAGCAAGAGCAGCAAAAUUAUUUCUUUUACAUGCAUAAGAAAAAUUACAAAAAAUGAAUGAAGGUAAACCACUCUAGCCAUUUCAAGAUACAUAGUUCCAACUGCUUCUUCCUUUACUCAAUCUUAUAUCACAAUCUCACUCAAGUUAUUCCAAUUUUCAGAAUCCACUGAAAGUAUAACCAAAAAAAAAAAA
rnacentral:misc_RNA from 1 species